rnacentral:rRNA from 1 species
AGAGUUUGAUCAUGGCUCAGAACGAACGCUGGCGGCAGGCAUAACACAUACAAGUCGAGCGCACCUUGGGGUGAGCGGCGGACGGGUUAGUAACGCGUGGGAAUAUACCUAGUUGUAAGGAAUAGCCUCUGGAAACGGAGAGUAAUACCUUAUACGCCCUUCGGGGGAAAGAUUUAUCGGAAUUAGAUUAGCCCGCGUUAGAUUAGAUAGUUGGUGGGGUAAUGGCUCUACCAAGUCUACGAUCUAUAGCUGGUUGAGAGGAUGAUC